UACAGAGGGGGCAAGCGUUGUUCGGAAUUACUGGGCGUAAAGGGCGCGUAGGCGGCCUUCUAAGUCGAACGUGAAAUCCCCGGGCUCAACCCGGGAACUGCGUCCGAUACUGGAAGGCUUGAAUCCGGGAGAGGGAUGCGGAAUUCCAGGUGUAGCGGUGAAAUGCGUAGAUAUCUGGAGGAACACCGGUGGCGAAGGCGGCAUCUUGGACCGGCAUUGACGCUGAGGCGCGAAGGUCAGGGGAGCAAACGGG
rnacentral:rRNA from 1 species